UCGAUGUUUAUUUCUGGUUCCCACAUUUCGUUGACGAUUUUAGUGAACAUCCAAACACACUCGCCUCAGAUUCUAGCACGUAUGUACCAUACGUAUUCAGAGAACGUCUGUGCACCAAUACGGCCGCGAUUCAAGUUGAGCUAGAGACCCACGUAAACUUGACAUGUCACUGUAAUCGUAACACGCAGAGCGCUU